rnacentral:rRNA from 1 species
UACGUAGGGUGCAAGCGUUAAUCGGAAUUACUGGGCGUAAAGCGUGCGCAGGCGGUUUUGUAAGACCGGUGUGAAAUCCCCGGGCUUAACCUGGGAACUGCAUUUGUGACUGCAUAGCUAGAGUACGGUAGAGGGGGAUGGAAUUCCGCGUGUAGCAGUGAAAUGCGUAGAUAUGCGGAGGAACACCGAUGGCGAAGGCAAUCCCCUGGACCUGUACUGACGCUCAUGCACGAAAGCGUGGGGAGCAAACAGG